CAUGAAAGUUGCCCGCAUCCUAUCAUUUCAUAGAUGUUUUUCUUGUCAUGCGGGCAACACGCCUGAAGUGCAUGCG